ACCUGAAAAGAUGGUUGACCAUAGAACAUGCGCUACUUCUGUGUCGUAUGUAGUAUGGUCCACAUCUUCUCAUUAUC